AAGUAGAACCAAAGAACCAAAUAAGGACAAAUGUGUUUGUGUACCAACUUAUCAUUCAGGUAUAGCUGAUUGAUUAGAACCUAAAAGUGUACAGUUGCUAUAAGACUGUGUGCCUAGCACUAGCUGUCUCAUCAAGCUGUUCAUUUUCAAACUCCUAAGAACAAAGCCAUCUAAGUUGCUGACCUCAUUUGCUUAGACCAGGAUGAAAAGGAGAAAAAAACAAUAGAGCCUUUAAUUUCAUAAACUAUUUAGAAAGUGCCUAGCUUCCUUGAAAUUCAAAUUGGCUAAGAUUCAAUAAAAUAAUAAAACUAUAAAAGCAGAGCAACUUCAGUUUUCUGGCCUAUGCCUCUACCCUCAGGCAGGCAGAUAUCCAAAUAUUCUAACCAAAAAGUUGUCUGUGCUAUAGUUCAUAUUCUUUAAGGGAGAGAUUCUGUAGUAGAUUUUAGGGUUAAAUUUUUGUAAUAGAUUUUAGGGUUAAAUUUUCACAGGCUUAGGAGGUUACAUUUGAGCUUCAUAAUAUGGUGGAAGAUGCGGAAAAAUGAACUCUACCAUUUUGUGUAAAACAUUAUGGUCAGGAGUAACAGCAUUUGGCCUGCAUUUAGGACUGUUUAUAAAUAUUCACUAGCAUGCAAACACUGCAGCAAAACUGACUUCUUUUCUUUCCUAUGUUUGGCACAAAAAUAAGUGUGUCAGUUACUUAUUGUCACAAUGAAAAAUACCCUUAAACUCAGAUGACAAUUAAUUUGGCUCAUCUAGUCUGGCCUUGGCUUGUGGCUCUGAUCCAGGCUGUUUAGGUAACUGGGCAGUGUACACCUGAUGCUUGCACUAAUGACGAAUCACUGUGGUACAAAAGACAAGUCAGGUAUUGCUAUAAUAAUACUGCAUAAAGAAACUCCUAAAAUCUCAGUGGUGUAAAAUACAAGCAUUCCCUCCACACCCCACCCCCACCUCCAUUCAGAGUGUGGGCAGCUAUGAUUUAGGCUAUGAACAGGUCAGACUUAGUCUAAGUUUAGGGUUUGGGUUCAAAUCCAUUUUAUACAUCUCCACAGGGUCAAUGGCAACCCACUCCAGUGUUCUUGCUUGGAGAAUCCCAGGGACAGGGGAGCCUGGUGGGCUGCUGUCUAUGGGGUUGCACAGAGUCGGACACGACUGAAGAGACAGCAGCAGCAUAGGGUCCUUGAAUAAGCGCUACCUGCGGUAUGCUCUUCUUAAGGG
ensembl:lncRNA